AUUGAACGCUGGCGGCAGGCCUAACACAUGCAAGUCGAGCGGAGCGGCUGACGGGUGCGUAAUGCCUAGGAAUCUGCCUGGUAGUGGGGGAUAACGUCCGGAAACGGGCGCUAAUACCGCAUACUAUCAGAUGAGCCUAGGUGGGUUUAGCGAGUUGGGGGGGUAAAGGACUACCAAGGCGACGAUCCGUAACUGGACUGAGAGGAUGAUCAGUCAAACUGGAACUGAAACACGGUCCAGACCCCUACGGGAGGCACCAGUGGGGAAUAUUGGACAAUGGGCGAAAGCCGGAUCCAUCCAUGCCGCGUGUGAGAAGAAGGUCUUCGGAUUGUAAAGCACUUUAAGUUGGGAGGCGUUACCAACAGAAUAAGCACCGGCUAACUUCGUGCCAGCAGCCGCGGUAAUAC
rnacentral:rRNA from 1 species